UGCACGAAAAUGCAGCAAGGUUUUUUGGGUUGACCAACAAACAACGUGCAUGAAAUAAUUACGCGGAUUUUAAGAAGUAUUGCCUAAAUGUUGUAAUUUAUUGUAACGGUGCUAUGACAACCAUGGAGGAAGGAGGGACAACAUGCUUGAGGUCUUUGCAUCCUUUCUUGAAUUUGUUGUACAUAGUAUGUACCAACCGACUUGAGCUGUCAGGUCAAUUGGUCACUUAUUUAGUUUUGUGUGGCACCUAAUUUGCAUACCAGUCGGUCUGACUCUUAGUAAAUGACAUUCCUAGAGCUAUAAACCCUAACCCUCAAUCCUUCACCUGUUGGAGGACUGAGGAGGGUUAGGGUUAAUUUGGCUGGAUCUGUUUAGCUGGGCCCUGCCUCUUGAUUAUGUAACGGCAUACUUGAGCCCGAGAGGGUGUGUCGCCUUAUAAUGGCCGACUAUUGAUUCCUGCACCAACCACAAUGGCAUGAAGACCAUUUUUUAGUCAUUUCGUUUUGUUCCUGAAUUUUAGGUUCGUUCGGGGGUUAUAAUUACACCCCACGGGUCGUCUUGUCGUCGGUUGCAACUCGUCUUUGGAUUGUCUGGCUUUCUUUGUGAUGCUUUGCCAACCUCUGACUAGUUCCGUGCUCGAAACUUAUCCGGGAUCGACUUGAGUCAUCACACAGAACACCUUUUUAUUAAGGUGUGUGGGUGCGUGUGUGUGCACACACAAAAUCCUCACAGUUGGCAUUCGACAUUGGCGCUCCUGGCUGGGCUCGGCCACACGCUGAUUUUCCUUUCCCGAUGGAAACUUCGACUUGCUCCAAUUUCAUGUAAGAAUCUUGGUACAUAGGGAGUGUUUCCCUUUGUUACGGUUAGUCCUCAUAAGGUCGGUUCGGGUGUGCUUUGUUACAAACACACUCUCUCGUAGGAAAUGUACAGGCUCCGUCGGAAACACACCGCAUAUUCCGACUCCACCGCAUACGCAGAUUCGUUUGAUUUUGUGUAACGAUAUUGACAUAUUCGGUAUGUGGAAUUUGGGCGGUGAUAGACGGUCCUCACAAGGCCGGUCCACGUACGUUUUGUUCCUCACACACGCUCUCGUAGCAAAUGUACAGCCUCGCUUCGAAACACGGCGCUUAUUCCGACCUGGUGGGAAACGCAGAUUUACGUGAACCAGCGAGAUGGAACACGCGGAUAUACACUGUAUGUACCUCUUACCUGGUCGCUGUUGCGGUCGGUCCACACACAUGGCCGGCCAGUAGUUGUGGCGUUUCUUGUGCAACACAGACACACAUUCCUGUAAGAAAAAAUGUACAUGUGGAGGGAGGUCGCUCGAAGGCACGGACGGAUAAUUACAUUUGGAAACGUGGGUUUGGGGUCCACAAAAGGCCGGUCGUGGCGACGACACUCUUUUAAGAAACGAUAGACUCGCUAUGAAUAAACUGGAGGGGGCGGAGUCAAGGCCGCAUAGCGUAUUAUCGGGCAAGAGGAUCGAUUUUCUUAAAACAUAAAGCUAAUAAAUGUUACAAUUUCCAAGUCUUGCAAACUCAUGCAACCUAGGUAUGGAACGUGUUUGAUGUUAUUAGACGCUGGAUCUUGUUGAAAGAUUUCACAUUUGUACACUAGAAACCUUGUCCCAGAUCUGUUACAUUAUUUAUCAAGCCGGGUAGUAGGGACUAGGGUCUCCCAUAAUGCAGGUGCAUGGCUCUUGCAUCAUGCUUGGAUACAGGCUUUUAUGCAAAAUGUUACUUUGCAAAACUGUAUUUGUGUAUUAGUGUAUCUUGGAAACAUGUUUUAAUUCGAGAGUUACUAUGGGGUACAUGCUAUGGUAUCCGAAACACUGAGCAAGCUGACUCUAUGCUUCUCGAUUGGUAGUUAGUGCUUGUGGAAGUAAGGCCGAUUGUUAAUUUACUUUUGAACGCAAAAACGCACCUCGGAGGUGCCUUCUGGCGUCCAGUAGUUUAUACAGUUGGUCCUCGUAUGGCUGGUUUGGGUGUGUGUAUGUUGUCCGCAAGUCACACUGGAGAAUUUCUGUACACAGGCUUGUUCUAAAACCCAUGGAAUGAAUAUUCCGACCACAUUGGAAACGCAGGUUUGCCCGGUGAAGAAAACGUCCCUUAUUGGCAACUGCCCACAAAACUAUGGGAAACAUUCGUCCAGAAAAGAAACAAUUGAAAUUUACGCACACACUGAAACACUGACACGCGAAAGACGGAAACGCGAACUGCCAUGAGGAAACUUACUAUACUAUCUUGUGAAUUAGAGGGUCGGGAUGAAAUAUAUGGCAAAAGUGGAGCCAACCCGCUCGCCAUUAAACAUUACAAAACUUCCUUCCAACCAUGCCACCGCGGAAACGUUGUUUUGCCCAAUUUCUGUAAGUCCAUGAGGCAAACCGGAUAUACAUGACUUCUUUCAUUGAGCCUACGUGUGGAGGCAUGCACGAUUUUCCAACCCAGGCUGGUACAUAAAUACUGUAUUUCCCAUACACUGCAAUCGGCUUUGCAGCACUUUUGAUAUUAAAUUUUAAUUUUCCCAAUCAACGGGGUCUCUCUCUUGAGUAAAAAAUGUCAAUCGAUUUUCUGUUCUCAGCCAAGUUUCAUUUAUAUGAAAGCAUUUU